ACCGGGGCUUGGCUCGGGGUCGCUGCAGCCGGGGCGGAGAGUGGUGUAAAAACAAGCAGGAGAAAUGGCCAGCGUGAAAAAUGGUGAUGGAGGCAAGAAGACCCCUUCAGAAGUAAAAUAUGAAUAAGGUAGAAUGAAGCAGACAAACAAACAACCAAGAAAGGAUGAAAAUUGAAAAUUGUUUGGGAAUACAUUUUGAACUGCAGCAAUAGUUUCUAGCUUCUGGCAAGGAAAACAGAUGAGCAAAUAUUCUCUGUCUUGAAGUUAAAUGCAUUGCUGCAGCAACAGGCCUCUCCAGCUUUCCAGCUACCAUGAAUCCUGAGCCUACUCUUAAACUGUUGUAACCAGAAACACUGCAACAACAUGGAAGUUGAGAGAUGCAUCAGAUACACAAGCCUCUGACUUGUCUCUCUGUGAUGGUGCCACUUUUACUUGAUGACUGCCUGUUGAUUGAGAAGACCCAAUCAUCAGAAGCUGCUCACCUA